UUGCUCACAAGGGCUUGGUCUUCUCCAUGUUGUACUGCUCGGCUCUUCAUGAGCUAAAAAGAUUGAAUUGAUUUGGGGAGCACUCUGUCUAAGUGGACAUGGGAGACCACAGUUUUCAUUCAGUACAACA